rnacentral:lncRNA from 1 species
GGGGUGUUAUACGACCUUGUCCACCAAUGAGGGUCUCGCACAUGCAGUCGGUUUUGUUAUUUCAUUGAUAGUCUGUUAAAUUUGGCCUUACAAUGACAAUUCUCCGUAAAAUUUGGAGGCUGCCAAAUGCUAAACAAGAAAAGAAAAAAAAAGACACAAACUUAACUAUUUUGAUUCUGAUGUUUUUCAAUUCAAGAUAGUAUUAUUUACUUCGAAUUCAUUAUCAAUAAUUGAAAAUAACUGUUCUCGUCAUGAAAAAUAUUGCACAGCUGUACAACACGCCGUAGUUAUGCCUUUUGUGUAUGGAUUUCAACACCAAACCCGAUUCGGUCACCCUACGCGCCAUACAUUUUGUUAAAUUUUUCUCAUUAAUCACGGGUUCAUACGUUAAGUUUUCUCAUUCUUUAAGUUUCAUUAAAAUAACAUUUGAAUGUCAUAAAUAUGCAAUUAUAUAUUUGCCGCUGGAUGUUAAGCAGCUACCAAUACUCAUUAUUAAAUAUUGCAGGUCGUUUUGUUCCGAAUUGUGUUAUUGGUAAAAUGUUUUUCAAUAUGUUAC